UGAUGUUGGACCCCAACAGUGCACGUGCCUCUAUCUCUCUCUCUCUGAUGAUCUGACCACUGUGAGAUUCACAGGUACAGAGCAGAAAUGUCCUGAGAGGUUCAGAUCCUAUGUGAAUGUGUUGGGAUCUCAGGGACUUACCUCAGGGAAACACAGCUGGGAGGUGAAGGUUGGGAAUAAAUUAGCCUGGGAUAUAGGAGUGGUGACAGAGUCCACCAGUAGGAAGGGAAGUAUAACAUGCAGCCCAGGGAGAGGAUUCUGGGUCUUAAUGCUGAGGAAUGGUGAUCAGUACAGUGCAGCUGUUACUAAGCUCACACUGAAGAGGAAACCCCAGAGCAUCAGAGUGCAGCUGGACUAUGACAGGGGGGAGGUGUCCUUCUUCGACUCCGGUGACAUGUCACUCAUCUACACUUUUAAAGGCACAUUUACUGAGAGAGUGUUCCCAUUCUUCUCUCCAUGUAAUAAUGAAGAUGGCAGGAAUUAUGGAGCCCUGCAAAUAUGCCCAGUGAAAGUGUCUGUAAAAAAAGAACUGACUAAAGAUGUUGUACUAAAGGAGUAUUAUAGAGGAAAUCCAUUUAACUUUAAUUUUACAUAAUUUUCUUUCAUGAACUGUAGAUACAAUGAGCGCAAAAUGUAAAAAAAAAUGAACAAACUGCACUCUCAGAAGGGAGAGUUUCAAAAGGCUCCUUUGUGUUUCCACAGAGGAACCCUAUCAAAUGCAAGGUUCGUUUUGAGGCAAAAUGGUUCAAUUAACCUUUAACACAUUUCACACCUACCAAAGAGGGUUCCAUGAUGAACAAAAAUAGGUUCCCCUAUUGAGACAAGCAAAGAACUCUCUUCUUCUGAGAGUGUACUGUAUAGAUGUCCUGAAUGAGUAUUAUAGAGGAAAUCCAUUUCAUAAUUAUACUCAGUUUUAUUCUCAUCAUUAUUGUGUAGAGAGUUAAUGAACUGUACAUGCAUUAUUUGAUAAUGUAUAUACAGGCACUUGUAAACUACAGGCAGCAUCUUAUGGGCUUUGUUUUUAUCUGAAUCUGUGAACAAAACUUUAUUUCAUAUAAUACUUGUACAUAAAACAGAUGUGCUCUGGUGACGUCAAAUACUUUUAAACCUGAUUUAAGUCAUUGCUGCAUAACUUGGUUUGUAAGCCAGCAUACAAGCUUGAAAUGUAUGAGUAUCAUGAAAACUCACAGUUUGUCAGUCUCAUGCGCUUAAGAUUUUACUUUGUGGAUGUUGCCAGGAACAAAUUCACUCUGUCAGCCCCAUGCUGUGCAAUUAACAUUCAGGCCUUCAGUAGCCUACACAUACCUGCACACCUGUCUUAUUGGUCUCAUAUUGUUUUAAUGGCUGGCUUUUCCUCGGUAGACAUGCAUGUCAAUUACAGUAUUAGAAUAGUCUACCAUGAUUAAAUAAUUGGCAAUGGCUAGCAAUCACAAAGCUUUCUCUGAUUGUGUCUCCCAUAGUAUUCUCUUUAAUCAAAUCAUAUCACAUUACAGAGUGUAAAUGA